rnacentral:rRNA from 1 species
AUUGAACGCUGGCGGCAGGCCUAACACAUGCAAGUCGAGCGGAGCGGCGGACGGGUGAGUAAUGCCUAGGAAUCUGCCUGGUAGUGGGGGAUAACGUCAGGAAACGGGCGCUAAUACCGCAUACUAUCAGAUGAGCCUAGUUCGGAUUAGCACGUUGGUGGGGUAAAGGCCUAGCAGGGCGACGAUCAGUAACUGGUCUGUGAGGAUGAUCAGUCCCACUGUAACUGAGACACGGUCCAGACGCCUACGGGCGUCAGCCGUGGGGAAUAUUGGACAAUGGGCGAAAGCCUGAUCCAGCCAUGCCGCGUGUGUGAAGAAGGUCUUCGGAUUGUAAAGCACUUUAAGUUGGGAGGCGUUACCAACAGAAUAAGCACCGGCUAACUUCGUGCCAGCAGCCGCGGUAAUAC